AUUGAACGCUGGCGGAAUGCCUUACACAUGCAAGUCGAACGGCAGCACGGACUUCGGUCUGGUGGCGAGUGGCGAACGGGUGAGUAAUGUAUCGGAACGUGCCCAGUCGUGGGGGAUAACGUAGUGAAAAUUACGCUAAUACCGCAUACGAUCUAUGGAUGAAAGCGGGGGAUCGCAAGACCUCGCGCGAUUGGAGCGGCCGAUAUCAGAUUAGGUAGUUGGUGGGGUAAAGGCCCACCAAGCCAACGAUCUGUAGCUGGUCUGAGAGGACGACCAGCCACACUGGAACUGAGACGCGGUCCAGACUCCUACGGGAGGCAGCAGUGGGGAAUUUUGGACAAUGGGCGAAAGCCUGAUCCAGCCAUUCCGCAUGCAGGAUGAAGGCCCUCGGGUUGUAAACUGCUUUUGUACAGAACGAAGAGGUUUCUACUAAUACUAGGAGCUCAUGACGGUACUGUAAGAAUAAGCACCGGCUAACUACGUGCCAGCCGCCGCCGUAA
rnacentral:rRNA from 1 species